AUUAAUAAAUAGUUUCGAUAAGCUGAGAGAAAUGUUCAAAAGCGAAAUAUUUCCCAGUUGAAAAUCUGUCGAUAUAUGUUCUACGCUGUUGAUUUACGAUUUCAUUAGUUGCGUGCAACUCGACGAGACAGAAACAAUACGAACAAACCUCUAUUGAAUACACGUAUGUUAGAUUUUUCAGUUUACGGAAGGCUGCUUAUUGUGCGGUGUCCAUUAUCAUUUAAAAUUGAGCGGAUGUGCAGCGGCAUCAAAAGCCCUGAAGGCAACUACCUCAAAGGUGCUAAUGAUCUGUUCAAGACC
rnacentral:misc_RNA from 1 species